CACAGACUCCACUAGAACGAAGGAGCAUUAUCUUCUCCACCACAAUCCUCCCACUUGGUGAUGCUCAUGGCGUGGUGCCCCUGCCAGCCCAUCGUUCGUGCGGUUCGCCGGUAAAUACCGGCAUGAUGCUACCGAUCCAGGCCCCUAUGAACACCGUAGUUAAUUUGAGCCCGCAACCAUUGCCGAUGAAUCGAGCCCCGCGGACACUGCUUGCCCAAGCCCCAACAGGAAGCAAUUUUUAUGAAGGCAAGUCUGUUCUGUCUCCAGCCGCCUCAUCUGCGCAGCAAGUCCGGUAUGUUGCUGCCCGGCAGUACUAUAUAUUCCACUGUGAAUGUCAUCAGAUCAAUCCAAUACCGGAAUAGAGGUUCCUUAUGGUGUUGGUGUUUGUUCAGCUGCAUAUUCAACCUGACUACACCUUGAGUUUGACUUUUCUAUUUAUUUAUUAUUUAUCUAUGCUAUAAUAUUAAGUGAUGUACUGUUUUUAAGCAUCUGUUUGUAAUUAUAGUAAACAAUCUUCUCUAAGGCUAUAGCUUUGCUUUUAAAAAUGUAAGAAUAAUA